rnacentral:rRNA from 1 species
CGAAAGCCUGACGGAGCAAGACCGCGUGGGGGAAGAAGGCUCUUGGGUUGUAAACCCCUUUUCUCUGGGAAGAAUGACGGUACCAGAGGAAUCAGCAUCGGCUAACUCCGUGCCAGCAGCCGCGGUAAGACGGAGGAUGCAAGCGUUAUCCGGAAUGAUUGGGCGUAAAGCGUCCGCAGGUGGCAGUUCAAGUCUGCUGUCAAAGACCGGGGCUUAACUUCGGAAAGGCAGUGGAAACUGAACAGCUAGAGUAUGGUAGGGGCAGAGGGAAUUCCUGGUGUAGCGGUGAAAUGCGUAGAGAUCAGGAAGAACAUCGGUGGCGAAGGCGCUCUGCUGGACCAUAACUGACACUCAGGGACGAAAGCUAGGGGAGCGAAUGGGAUU